UCAGAAUAAAAGGGGCGACCAGGAGCUUCCCCCAAACCCUAGUUUCAUACAAAAUUCAAGAAUUGAAGCCCCUUAUCUACUCUAAAUCAAGUUCCAAACACGAAUUAGUGAUCACCUCGUUGCAGGGAUCAAAAGGUAAAGAAUCCGGAUCGUCGAGCGGGAAAGCCGGAGGUGAUACACGUUUGAAGGGUGCGCUUUGAAGGUGACAACGAGGAUUUUCCGGAUGACGAUCAAGCAACAUUUUGAAGAACCGAACACAAACCUAUCAAGCUUCCGCGUUAUUUUAACCUUGUUAGACAAUGAUAAUCGAUGUAGACAAUACCGUUAAUCGUGUUUUGAAUGUUUUAACUAGUGGUUAGAUGUUUGCUACUUGAUCACUUUAAACUUUAAA